ACAUGCCUACAACAUAGUGUUAAUGCAUCAGAUCUCAUUAGAAAUUCACAGUUAAGCACGCUUAGCCUAGAGUAGUACUGGGAUGGGUGACCACCUUAGAAGUCUUAGUGUUUUACAUGCC
rnacentral:rRNA from 1 species